AUUACAUAUCGGCCUAGUCUCCUGAGGGAGAACGGAGGAACCAAUUUUUUGGGGUUAAUUCUACGAUUUUGUAGAAGGGAUGAGAUACUCUUUCGCCAUCCUACCCGUCAGCUAACUUCGUCGGCUAAAGCGAAGGAGGUC
rnacentral:sRNA from 2 species